rnacentral:rRNA from 1 species
GGGUUGUGAGGUUAAGCGACUAAGCGUACACGGUGGAUGCCCUGGCAGUCAGAGGCGAUGAAGGACGUGCUAAUCUGCGAAAAGCGUCGGUAAGGUGAUAUGAACCGUUACAGCCGGCGAUGUCCGAAUGGGGAAACCCAGUGUGAUUCGUCACACUAUCGUUAACUGAAUACAUAGGUUAACGAGGCGAACCGGGGGAACUGAAACAUCUAAGUACCCCGAGGAAAAGAAAUCAACCGAGAUUCCCCCAGUAGCGGCGAGCGAACGGGGAGCAGCCCAGAGUCUGAAUCAGCUUGUGUGUUAGUGGAACGGUCUGGAAAGUCCGACGGUACAGGGUGAUAGUCCCGUACACCAAAAUGCACAGGCUGUGAACUCGAAGAGUAGGGCGGGACACGUGGUAUCCUGUCUGAAUAUGGGGGGACCAUCCUCCAAGGCUAAAUACUCCUGACUGACCGAUAGUGAACCAGUACCGUGAGGGAAAGGCGAAAAGAACCCCGGCGAGGGGAGUGAAAAAGAACCUGAAACCGUGUACGUACAAGCAGUGGGAGCACCUUCGGGUGUGACUGCGUACCUUUUGUAUAAUGGGUCAGCGACUUAUAUUCUGUAGCAAGGUUAACCGUAUAGGGGAGCCGCAGGGAAACCGAGUCUUAACUGGGCGUUAAGUUGCAGGGUAUAGACCCGAAACCCGGUGAUCUAGCCAUGGGCAGGUUGAAGGUUGGGUAACACUAACUGGAGGACCGAACCGACUAAUGUUGAAAAAUUAGCGGAUGACUUGUGGCUGGGGGUGAAAGGCCAAUCAAACCGGGAGAUAGCUGGUUCUCCCCGAAAGCUAUUUAGGUAGCGCCUCGUGAAUUCAUCUUCGGGGGUAGAGCACUGUUUCGGCUAGGGGGUCAUCCCGACUUACCAACCCGAUGCAAACUACGAAUACCGAAGAAUGUUAUCACGGGAGACACACGGCGGGUGCUAACGUCCGUCGUGAAGAGGGAAACAACCCAGACCGCCAGCUAAGGUCCCAAAGUCACAGUUAAGUGGGAAACGAUGUGGGAAGGCACAGACAGCCAGGAUGUUGGCUUAGAAGCAGCCAUCAUUUAAAGAAAGCGUAAUAGCUCACUGGUCGAGUCGGCCUGCGCGGAAGAUGUAACGGGGCUAAACUGUGCACCGAAGCUGCGGCAGCGACACUAUGUGUUGUUGGGUAGGGGAGCGUUCUGUAAGCCUGCGAAGGUGGCCUGUGAGGGUUGCUGGAGGUAUCAGAAGUGCGAAUGCUGACAUAAGUAACGAUAAUGCGGGUGAAAAGCCCGCACGCCGGAAGACCAAGGGUUCCUGUCCAACGUUAAUCGGGGCAGGGUGAGUCGACCCCUAAGGCGAGGCCGAAAGGCGUAGUCGAUGGGAAACAGGUUAAUAUUCCUGUACUUGGUGUUACUGCGAAGGGGGGACGGAGAAGGCUAUGUUAGCCGGGCGACGGUUGUCCCGGUUUAAGCAUGUAGGCGGAGGUUCCAGGUAAAUCCGGUACCUUUUUAACGCUGAGGUGUGAUGACGAGGCACUACGGUGCUGAAGUAACAAAUGCCCUGCUUCCAGGAAAAGCCUCUAAGCAUCAGGUAACAUUAAAUCGUACCCCAAACCGACACAGGUGGUCAGGUAGAGAAUACCAAGGCGCUUGAGAGAACUCGGGUGAAGGAACUAGGCAAAAUGGUGCCGUAACUUCGGGAGAAGGCACGCUGAUAUGUAGGUGAAGCCCCUGCGGGUGGAGCUGAAAUCAGUCGAAGAUACCAGCUGGCUGCAACUGUUUAUUAAAAACACAGCACUGUGCAAACACGAAAGUGGACGUAUACGGUGUGACGCCUGCCCGGUGCCGGAAGGUUAAUUGAUGGGGUUAUCCGUAAGGAGAAGCUCUUGAUCGAAGCCCCGGUAAACGGCGGCCGUAACUAUAACGGUCCUAAGGUAGCGAAAUUCCUUGUCGGGUAAGUUCCGACCUGCACGAAUGGCGUAAUGAUGGCCAGGCUGUCUCCACCCGAGACUCAGUGAAAUUGAACUCGCUGUGAAGAUGCAGUGUACCCGCGGCAAGACGGAAAGACCCCGUGAACCUUUACUAUAGCUUGACACUGAACAUUGAGCCUUGAUGUGUAGGAUAGGUGGGAGGCUUUGAAGCGUGGACGCCAGUCUGCGUGGAGCCAACCUUGAAAUACCACCCUUUAAUGUUUGAUGUUCUAACGUUGGCCCCUUAUCGGGGUUGCGGACAGUGUCUGGUGGGUAGUUUGACUGGGGCGGUCUCCUCCCAAAGAGUAACGGAGGAGCACGAAGGUUAGCUAAUCCUGGUCGGACAUCAGGAGGUUAGUGCAAUGGCAUAAGCUAGCUUGACUGCGAGCGUGACGGCGCGAGCAGGUGCGAAAGCAGGUCAUAGUGAUCCGGUGGUUCUGAAUGGAAGGGCCAUCGCUCAACGGAUAAAAGGUACUCCGGGGAUAACAGGCUGAUACCGCCCAAGAGUUCAUAUCGACGGCGGUGUUUGGCACCUCGAUGUCGGCUCAUCACAUCCUGGGGCUGAAGUAGGUCCCAAGGGUAUGGCUGUUCGCCAUUUAAAGUGGUACGCGAGCUGGGUUUAGAACGUCGUGAGACAGUUCGGUCCCUAUCUGCCGUGGGCGCUGGAGAAUUGAGGGGGGCUGCUCCUAGUACGAGAGGACCGGAGUGGACGCAUCACUGGUGUUCGGGUUGUCAUGCCAAUGGCAUUGCCCGGUAGCUAAAUGCGGAAGAGAUAAGUGCUGAAAGCAUCUAAGCACGAAACUUGCCCCGAGAUGAGUUCUCCCUGACUCCUUGAGAGUCCUGAAGGAACGUUAAAGACGAUGACGUUGAUAGGUCGGGUGUGUAAGCGUAGCGAUACGUUGAGCUAACCGAUACUAAUGAACCGUGAGGCUUAACCUUACAACGCCGAAGGUGUUU